rnacentral:rRNA from 1 species
UCGAACGCUUCUUUUUCCACCGGAGCUUGCUCCACCGGAAAAGAGGAGUGGCGAACGGGUGAGUAACACGUGGGUAACCUGCCCAUCAGAAGGGGAUAACACUUGGAAACAGGUGCUAAUACCGUAUAACAAUCGAAACCGCAUGGUUUUGAUUUGAAAGGCGCUUUCGGGUGUCGCUGAUGGAUGGACCCGCGGUGCAUUAGCUAGUUGGUGAGGUAACGGCUCACCAAGGCCACGAUGCAUAGCCGACCUGAGAGGGUGAUCGGCCACAUUGGGACUGAGACACGGCCCAAACUCCUACGGGAGGCAGCAGUAGGGAAUCUUCGGCAAUGGACGAAAGUCUGACCGAGCAACGCCGCGUGAGUGAAGAAGGUUUUCGGAUCGUAAAACUCUGUUGUUAGAGAAGAACAAGGAUGAGAGUAACUGUUCAUCCCUUGACGGUAUCUAACCAGAGAGCCACGGCUAACUACGUGCCAGCAGCCGCGGUAAUACGUAGGUGGCAAGCGUUGUCCGGAUUUAUUGGGCGUAAAGCGAGCGCAGGCGGUUUCUUAAGUCUGAUGUGAAAGCCCCCGGCUCAACCGGGGAGGGUCAUUGGAAACUGGGAGACUUGAGUGCAGAAGAGGAGAGUGGAAUUCCAUGUGUAGCGGUGAAAUGCGUAGAUAUAUGGAGGAACACCAGUGGCGAAGGCGGCUCUCUGGUCUGUAACUGACGCUGAGGCUCGAAAGCGUGGGGAGCAAACAGGAUUAGAUACCCUGGUAGUCCACGCCGUACACGAUGAGUGCUAAGUGUUGGAGGGUUUCCGCCCUUCAGUGCUGCAGCUAACGCAUUAAGCACUCCGGCCGGGGGAGUACGACCGCAAGGUUGAAACUCAAAGGAAUUGACGGGGGCCCGCACAAGCGGUGGAGCAUGUGGUUUAUUCCAAGCAACGCGAAGAACCUUACCAGGUCUUGACAUCCUUUGACCACUCUAGAGAUAGAGCUUCCCCUUCGGAGGCAAAGUGACAGGUGGUGCAUGGUUGUCGUCACCUCCUGUCAUGAGAUGUUAGGUUAAUUCCCGCCACCAAGCCCAACCCUUAUUGUUAUUUGCCAUCAUUCAUUUGGGCACUCUCCCAGACUGCCGGUAACAACCGGAGAAAAGUGGGGAUAACGUCAAAUCACC